rnacentral:rRNA from 1 species
GACGAACGCUGGCGGCGUGCCUAAUACAUGCAAGUAGAACGCUGAAGGAGGAGCUUGCUUCUCUGGAUGAGUUGCGAACGGGUGAGUAACGCGUAGGUAACCUGCCUGGUAGCGGGGGAUAACUAUUGGAAACGAUAGCUAAUACCGCAUAAGAGUAGAUGUUGCAUGACAUUUGCUUAAAAGGUGCAAUUGCAUCACUACCAGAUGGACCUGCGUUGUAUUAGCUAGUUGGUGGGGUAACGGCUCACCAAGGCGACGAUACAUAGCCGACCUGAGAGGGUGAACGGCCACACUGGGACUGAGACACGGCCCAGACUCCUACGGGAGGCAGCAGUAGGGAAUCUUCGGCAAUGGACGGAAGUCUGACCGAGCAACGCCGCGUGAGUGAAGAAGGGUUUCGGAUCGUAAAGCUCUGUUGUAAGAGAAGAACGAGUGUGAGAGUGGAAAGUUCACACUGUGACGGUAUCUUAACAGAAAGGGACGGCUAACUACGUG